AAGUCGAACGAAGAAUUUAGCAAUAAAUUCUUAGUGGCGAAUGGGUGCGUAACACGUAGGUGACCUACCCCGAAGUGUGGAAUAACAGUCCGAAAGGACUGCUAAUACCGCAUGUGGUCCCGGGUUUUAGAAAGCCGGGUCUAAAGCAGCAAUGCGCUUCGGGAGGGGCCUGCGGCCCAUCAGCUAGUUGGUAGGGUAAUGGCCUACCAAGGCUACGACGGGUAGGGGACCUGAGAGGGUGACCCCCCACAUUGGCACUGACACACGGGCCAAACUCCUACGGGAGGCAGCAGUCGGGAAUAUUGCACAAUGGACGAAAGUCUGAUGCAGCAACGCCGCGUGCGCGAUGAAGGCCUUCGGGUUGUAAAGCGCUUUUCGGGAGGAUGAGGAAGGACAGUACUCCCGGAAUAAGGUACGGCUAACUACGUGCCAGCAGCCGCGGUAAAACGUAGGUACCGAGCGUUAUCCGGAUUUACUGGGCGUAAAGCGUGUUCAGGCGGCCCGGCAAGUCGGGCAUGAAAUCUCUCGGCUCAACCGAGAGAGGCUGUCCGAUACUGCUGGGCUUGAGGACGGUAGAGGGUGGUGGAAUUCCGCGUGUAGUGGUGAAAUGCGUGGAUAUGCGGAGGAACACCAGUGGCGAAGGCGGCCACCUGGACCGUCCCUGACGCUCAAACACGAAAGCUAGGGUAGCGAACGGGAUUAGAAACCCCGGGUAGUCCUAGCCGUAAACGAUGUUGACUGGGUGUCAAAGGUG
rnacentral:rRNA from 1 species